GCAAAACACCUAAAAACAAAUAAAACACUUGAAAAUAGAACACGUGAAGAUUUAUUCAGUUUCUCCCUCUCUUCUCAAAAGCGCUACCUUUCUCACAUGUCUCUCUUUCUACUGAAAAUGAAAUUCCCACAUAAAAUCUCAACCUUUCAACAUUGCAAUCGUGAAACUUCAACCAGAUUUAACCAAAACGUAACUACAAUCAUGAAUCAUUUAAAUCCUUUUCGAACCCUAAACUUUCAGAUCGAAAAAAAUCCACCGUGUCGGUUUCUCUCAGGCCACCGCGAGCUUCAUCUCCUUCAAGGUGAUUAUCUGUUCAAGCUUCUUCUUAUUGGAGACUCUGGUGUCGGCAAUUCAUGCCUUCUUCUGAGAUUUGCUGGCUCGCUAAAGUGUUUGUGCGUAGUAUCUUUUCCUGGAGAGAAGUUGGGCCAAUGAUGAAAACACAACGAGGGAGGGGGAGGCAAUGUCCAGUUCUUCGUCAACGACGGUGAUGAUCCAGCAACUGGCGGAGAACGAUCCGAGUCGGCGCGGGACUCCUCCUGCGUUAAAAUCUGCUGUGGAAAAGCUCCCUGUUAUCGAAGUUACCGGGGAGUUGCUCGAGUCGGAUUCCUCGCAGUGCACGGUGUGCAAGGACACAUUUGUUCGUUGCCAUGCUUGAUUUAAAACAUGAUAACUUGUCAAGAAGUGCUCAUGGUAUUUGUUGAACUAAGACAUGAAGGAGCAGAGAGGAUUCUAAUUUCCUCAACUAACAAAUAGGUAAACAUUAAUUAAACUUAAUUUGUUCUAGUGACAAUGACAAUUAGUAAUUUCUUAACUAAGCACAAUUACCCAUAGAAAAAAAACAAUACUGAAAAUUGGGCCUAUAAGAUUGAAAACAAUACUGAAAGAGAGAUAUGAGGGCCAUCAUGGUGUUAGAAUUCAAGACCGUGCUAUUGUUGUUGCAGCUCAGUUGUCUAGUCGGUAGAUAACUGGUAUGCUCUUGCACUCUAUUAAUAUUUGAUUACUUAUGUAUUGGUUGGGCAUGAUUUUGGUUGUGGCUUUGCUAACAUGGUAUACGUUUGUGGCUUUGCUAAUAUGUAUUGGAAGAUCAUAUUAAAAGUUGUGAUUUUGAAUCUUCUAAGUCACCCACAUUUCAGAAUGUGACAAAUUCGAGGGCUGAUGUAAAGCGAGUUUUCCUUAACAAGA